rnacentral:rRNA from 1 species
UAUCGUUUAUUUGAUAGUACCUUACUACUUGGAUAACCGUGGUAAUUCUAGAGCUAAUACAUGCUAAAAACCCCGACUUCGGGAGGGGUGUAUUUAUUAGAUAAAAAACCAAUGCCCUUCGGGGCUCUUUGGUGAGUCAUAAUAACUUAACGGAUCGCAUGGCCUUGCGCCGGCGACGGUUCAUUCAAAUUUCUGCCCUAUCAACUUUCGAUUGUAGGGUAGUGGCCUACAAUGGUUUCAACGGGUGACGGGGGAUUAGGGUUCGAUUCCGGAGAGGGAGCCUGAGAAACGGCUACCACAUCCAAGGAAGGCAGCAGGCGCGCAAAUUACCCAAUCCCGACACGGGGAGGUAGUGACAAUAAAUACUGAUACAGGGCUCUUUUGGGUCUUGUAAUUGGAAUGAGUACAAUUUAAAUCCCUUAACGAGGAACAAUUGGAGGGCAAGUCUGGUGCCAGCAGCCGCGGUAAUUCCAGCUCCAAUAGCGUAUAUUAAAGUUGUUGCAGUUAAAAAGCUCGUAGUUGAACCUUGGGCCUGGCUGGCCGGUCCGCCUCACCGCGUGCACUGGUCCGGCCGGGCCUUUCCUUCUGGAGAACCGCAUGCCCUUUACUGGGUGUGUCGGGGAACCAGGACUUUUACUUUGAAAAAAUUAGAGUGUUCAAAGCAGGCCUUUGCUCGAAUACGUUAGCAUGGAAUAAUAGAAUAGGACGUGCGGUCCUAUUUUGUUGGUUUCUAGGACCGCCGUAAUGAUUAAUAGGGAUAGUCGGGGGCAUCAGUAUUCAAUUGUCAGAGGUGAAAUUCUUGGAUUUAUUGAAGACUAACUACUGCGAAAGCAUUUGCCAAGGAUGUUUUCAUUAAUCAGUGAACGAAAGUUAGGGGAUCGAAGACGAUCAGAUACCGUCGUAGUCUUAACCGUAAACUAUGCCGACUAGGGAUCGGGCG